rnacentral:rRNA from 1 species
GACGAACGCUGGCGGCGUGCUUAACACAUGCAAGUCGAGCGAUGAAGCUCCUUCGGGAGUGGAUUAGCGGCGGACGGGUGAGUAACACGUGGGCAACCUGCCUUAUAGAGAGGAAUAGCCAUCCGAAAGGAUGAUUAAUACCUCAUAAUAUUGUAGCUUCGCAUGGAGCAACAAUCAAAGGAGCAAUCCACUAUAAGAUGGGCCCGCGGCGCAUUAGCUAGUUGGUGAGGUAGCGGCUCACCAAGGCGACGAUGCGUAGCCGACCUGAGAGGGUGAUCGGCCACAUUGGGACUGAGACACGGCCCAGACUCCUACGGGAGGCAGCAGUGGGGAAUAUUGCACAAUGGGGGAAACCCUGAUGCAGCAACGCCGCGUGAGUGAUGACGGCCUUCUGGUUGUAAAGCUCUGUCUUCAGGGACGAUAAUGACGGUACCUGAGGAGGAAGCCACGGCUAACUACGUGCCAGCCGCCGCAGUAAUAC